rnacentral:tRNA from 1 species
UCCUUCGUAGCUCAGUCAGUAGAGAAUCUGCCUGCAAUGCAGGAGACCUGGGUUUGAUUCCUGGGUGAGGAA